GCAAUUUUUUCUGUGUCAGAGAAAAUUGGAACGAUACAGAGAAAAUUAAUAUGACCCCUACAUAAGGAUGGGAACUCAAGAGUGUUGCAAACCUCACCUAU